AUGGGCUCUAAGGACGGACACCCCGCCACCGCCGCCGCCGCCGCCGACGACGCCGUGUACCUCCACGGCGUCCUGGAGGUGACGGUGUUCGAGGCGGACCACCUCCACAACGCCAUCCGUGGCCAGAUCAUCAAGGCGACGGAGAAGCUGGAGCAGUCGCUGGGCGUGCACUGCCUCCAGCGGAGCAGCCUGUACGUGGACAUCGACGUCGGCGCGGCGCGGGUGGCGCGCACCUGCGAGGUGGAGCCCCACGCCAACGGCCCGGUCUGGAACCAGUCCUUCCGCCUGCACUGCGCCUACCCUGCCGCCGCCAUCACCUUCACCGUCAAGAGCCAGCACCUCAUCGGCGCCGGCGUCCUCGGCCACGGCUCCGUGCCCACGGCCAGCGUCGCCGCGGGGGAGCCCCUCGAGCUCUGGGUCGGCCUCCGGGGCGGCGAGCGCGCGCACGGGACGCACACCCCGAGGCUCCGCGUCCGGCUGCAGUUCCUGGACGUCGAGCGCGACCCGUGCUGGGAUGCCGGCAUUUGGCUGCCCGGAUUCGCUGGGGUCACGCCGGCCUUCUUCCCGGAGCGGACCAACUGCAGCGUCACGCUGUACCAGAACUCGCACCUGUCCAACGGGUUCGACCCGUCGGUCCGCCUCGACGGCGGUCGGCCGUACCGUCCGGCGCGCCUGUGGGAGGACCUCUACGUGGCCAUCCGCGACGCGCGCCACUUCGUGUACGUCGCCGGGUGGUCGGUGAACACGGCGACCACGCUCGUGCGCGACGCGAGCCGGAUGAUCCCCGGCGCGGAGGGCGUCACGCUGGGCGAGCUCCUCAAGCGGAAGGCCGACGAGGGGGUCGCGGUGCUGGUGAUGCCGUGGCAGGACAAGACGUCCGUCCCGUUCCUCGGCAACACCGGCGUGAUGAAGACGCACGACGAGCAGACCCGGGCCUUCUUCCAUGGCACCAACGUGCGGUGCUUCCUCUGCCCGCGCGACGCCGAAGCCGCGCUCACCCUGGUGCAGAGCAUCGAGAUCAGCACCGAGUUCACGCACCACCAGAAGACGGUCACCCUCGACGCCGCCACGCCGGGCACCGCCGACGCCCGCCACGUCGUCAGCUUCAUCGGCGGCAUCGACCUCUGCGACGGCAGGUACGACGACGAGAACCACACGCUGUUCCGGGAUCUCGACACGACCUACUCCAGCGACUUCAUGCAGAACAACUUCAGGCACGCCUCCCUGCGGCACGGCGGGCCGAGGGAGCCGUGGCACGACGUGCACUGCAGGCUCGAGGGACCCGCGGCGUGGGACGUGCUCGCCAACUUCGAGCACCGGUGGAAUAAGCAGGCGCCGCGGAGGAUACGGGGCUGCCUGCUCGACCUGAGCCCGGAGACGUUCCCCGAUCCCUGCACCUUCGACACCGACGACGGCACCGGCUCGUGGAACGUGCAGGUGCUCCGGUCCGUCGACGACGCGUCGGUGGUCGGAUUCCCCACCGACCCGGCCGGGGCGGCCGCGAUGGGGCUGACGAGUGGCAAGGACCUCACGAUCGACCAGAGCAUACAGACCGGCUACGUCGAGGCCAUCCGCCGCGCGCGGCGGUUCAUCUACAUCGAGAACCAGUACUUCCUCGGCGGGUGCGCGUCGUGGGCGGAGGACCGGGACUCCGGCUGCCUGAACCUGGUGCCCGUGGAGAUCGCGCUCAAGGUCGCCGCCAAGAUCCGGCGCGGCGAGCGGUUCGCCGUGUACGUGGUGACCCCGAUGUGGCCCGAGGGGGAGCCGGCGAGCGACUCCAUCCAGGCCAUCGUGCGGUGGAACCGGCUGACCGUGGAAAUGAUGUACGGCAUCGUGAUGCAGGCGAUCGACGACGCCGGGCUGCGCGGCCAGGCGCACCCCUGCGACUACCUCAACUUCUUCUGCCUCGGGAACCGGGAGGCGCCGCGCCCCGGCGGGGAGUACGUGCCGCCGGCGAAGCCAGAGAAAGGCACGGACUACUGGCGCGCGCAGGCGAGCCGCCGGGCCCCCAUCUACGUCCACGCCAAGCUCAUGAUCGUGGACGACGAGUACGUCAUCGUGGGGUCGGCGAACCUGAACGAGCGAUCGCUGGCGGGCAACCGGGACAGCGAGAUCGCUCAGGGGAGCUACCAGCCGGCGCACCUGAACGGCCCGGGCGGCGGGCGCGCCCGGGGGCUCGUGCACGGGUUCCGGAUGUCGCUGUGGCACGAGCACUUGAUGAGCCACAUGUGCGCCGGCGCCGGCGAGGACGUGUUCUUGGAGCCCGAGAGCGCGGAGUGCGUGGGCGCGGUGCGGCGCGCGGCGGAGGCGCUGUGGGACGCGUACACGCGGGACAGGGUGGAGGACCUGCGAGGGCACCUGCUGCCGUUCCCGAUCAGCGUGUCGGAGUUCGGGGAGGUGGCCGACCGGACGGCCGACGGCUGCUUCCCGGACACCAGGGCGCCGGUCAAGGGGAGGAAGUCGGCCACACUUCCGGCCAUCCUGACCACUUGA
rnacentral:rRNA from 1 species